AUCUGCUCUUCAUCGUCACCACGUCGUCGCCACACCACACCAUCACCACCCCACUUCCAUAUUCUAACGGUUUUUUAUACAAACAAUCAAAACAGAACCAUGUACUACGGUCAAAAUCACCAAAACAAAGCCACCUAUAUAAAAAAAUAUGCAGCAAAAUUAGAAUAAAAAUCCAUAACAAAUAAGUAAAAUGAAACAAAACUACAUUGAGUGCGUGUUUUGCAGCCCCCGUACAACUCUGAGAUUUCUAUCUGCAAUUAGAUUCCCGAUCUCCAAUUUUCAAAUCUCAAACCAGAAACAACAGAAACAAACAUUACUCCAGAAAAUCAAAACCAUAAAUAAAGAGUAAAUCUUAGAAAUAGACGAACGUACGCAUCUCCUCCGGUGUGGAGACUCCCCUCGAAGCUCCAAUCGCCAAACCUCCGCCAGCGCCGCCUCGGCGCCGCCUUCUACCAUCGCCCCAUAGUCGGACCGCCACCAAACACUCAGAUCAGAUCAUGUAGAGAAGGAAAAAAAAGAGAGA
rnacentral:lncRNA from 1 species